AUGUCAGAGAAGCUAUGUUAGAGAUAUCUAACGGCCAACCAGCUCUGUCCAUGGAUAUCUACCCAGAUGUUGUUACUUCGUAGCAUGGCUCGGGUAUUAGUUCUCUCUGCAUCUGCGUGAGUUGCAGAAAGCUUCAUUUCGCUACUAAAAGGUUUCCUGAUUCCCUUAUCUAUCAGUAAGAGUAAGCCCAAUUCUAAAAAAUGUUUUUAGAAAAUUACUUUCAUCUCUGCAUGGCCUGGAAUUUGCUUGAGGACACCAUGAAUAGUAGGUCAUCACCACUACAUUUCAGGAAAGAGAGCCAAUGAGGGCCCAAUAUAAUCACAGGAGUCUUUAAAAGAGGAAGAGGGAAGCAGAAGACAACCAGAGAGAUAGCAGUGUGAGAAGGACUUGGCCCUACAUUGCUGGCUUUAAAGGUAGGAGUGAAGGCCAUAAGCCAGAGACUGUAGGUGACCUCUACAAUCAAUAAAAGGCAAAGAAGCACAUUCUUCCUUAGAGCCUCCAGAAGGAACACAGCCCUGUCAACAACUUGAUUUUAGACUAGUGAGACCCAUUUUGAACUUUUGUCCUCUAGAUCUUUAAAAUAAUAAA
rnacentral:lncRNA from 1 species